AUUGAACGCUGGCGGCAUGCUUUACACAUGCAAGUCAAACGGCAGCGCGGGCUUCGGCCUGGCGGCGAGUGGCGAACGGGUGAGUAAUACAUCGGAACGUGCCCAGUAGUGGGGGAUAGCUCGGCGAAAGCCGGAUUAAUACCGCAUACGACCUGAGGGUGAAAGCGGGGGAUCUUCGGACCUCGCGCUAUUGGAGCGGCCGAUGGCAGAUUAGCUAGUUGGUGGGGUAAAGGCCUACCAAGGCGACGAUCUGUAGCUGGUCUGAGAGGACGACCAGCCACACUGGAACUGAGACACGGCCCAGACUCCUACGGGAGGCAGCAGUGGGGAAUUUUGGACAAUGGGCGAAAGCCUGAGCCAGCAAUGCCGCGUGUGUGAUGAAGGCCUUCGGGUUGUAAAGCACUUUUGGCGGGAACGAAAAGGACUGUGCCAAUACCACGGUUCGAUGACGGUACCCGCAGAAUAAGCACCGGCUAACUACGUG
rnacentral:rRNA from 1 species